GGUUCGCUUAGCCGCGAUUAAUUGGGAAUGUGAGUGAGAAUCUCCGACUGUCCCGCAGCAGUGAACUCCGUUAUGGCCCUUGAGCGUAAAUGCCAUUGGACUUUCUCUCCUGACUCGUAAGAUGGGGUGGGGAAUGUUUGAGAAGGUGCUUGAGAGUGGAGCAAAGUCUGAAGACCAGCCUUUUGUG
rnacentral:ncRNA from 1 species